rnacentral:rRNA from 1 species
AUUGAACGCUGGCGGCAGGCCUAACACAUGCAAGUCGAGCGGAUGAAGGGAGCUUGCUCCUGGAUUCAGCGGCGGACGGGUGAGUAAUGCCUAGGAAUCUGCCUGGUAGUGGGGGAUAACGUCCGGAAACGGGCGCUAAUACCGCAUACGUCCUGAGGGAGAAAGUGGGGGAUCUUCGGACCUCACGCUAUCAGAUGAGCCUAGGUCGGAUUAGCUAGUUGGUGGGGUAAAGGCCUACCAAGGCGACGAUCCGUAACUGGUCUGAGAGUAUGAUCAGUUACACUGGAACAGAGACACGGUCCAGACUCCUAAGGGAGGCAGCAGUGGGGAAUAUUGGACCAUGGGCGAAAGCCUGAUCCAGCCAAGCCGCGUGUGUGAAGAAGGUCUUCGGAUUGUAAAGAACUUUAAGUUGGGAGGAAGGGCAGUAAGUUAAUACCUUGCUGUUUUGACGUUACCAACAGAAUAAGCACCGGCUAACUUCGUG